UAGUAGGCAGCCUGGAGA
rnacentral:misc_RNA from 1 species